GGAGCAUAACACAGGGACUUAUUUCCAUUACGGUCCUCUUGAGACAAGAUGGCUGGGCACGAUCCAACACGGUUGAACACAGUAAGGCAGCGAGAUAAUCAAGUCUAGAAACCAAGAAGAACAACAUCUAUCUCAUCAGUUACAUCGUAGGGGACAUUCAUAUUGGAACAGAAGCCAUCAAACAGUGUUACUUUAUUUUUAAAGCUGUCCAGAGAAGGUAGAGUGAGAGGGGGGAGAUGGAGGUAGAGAGGGAAGUGUAGCUGAAUGUGAUAGUAGGGUGAUUGAUUAGCAUGGUCCCUGGUGUUGAUGAUGUUGUUGAUCACCGUCUCUCUGCUACCCGUGUCACCACACGGUUAACAUGACCAAAAGAUUACGACAUGCACACAAAUGGGGGAGGGAGAAUUCAUGAAGGGAAGCUACAAGGGUGGAGAGAAAAAGGAUGGAGGGAGGAAUAGAUCAUUUGGGAGGAAUGGGGUAGUGAGAGAGGGAGUAGGGAGGGAACGGGGUAGAGAAAAAGGAUGGAGGGAGGAAUAGAUCAUUUGGGAGGAAUGGGGUAGUGAGAGAGGGAGUAGGGAGGGAACGGGGUAGAGAAAAAGGAUGGAGGGAGGAAUAGAUCAUUUGGGAGGAAUGGGGUAGUGAGAGAGGGAGUAGGGAGGAAACGGGGUAGAGAAAAAGAGGGUGAAAGGAAGAGUAAGUUAGUAGAGUGGAGGAGUAGUUACUAGUUAGUUUUAUUGGGUUCAAAGACUGCUGUCCUGUUUGUUAAACAUAUAGAAUAUAAUGUUAUCUCUCACUGUCUAGAAUUACCUCACAAUCAAUAUUGGCCCUCGUAAUAUGUGAAACAUUCACUCCCAGUCGAGGUGUGUGUGUGUGUGUGUGUGUGCUGCUCCAGUCCUCUGAGGUUAAGUGAGCUCCAUUGAUCUCCUGCUGUCCUCAUUAGAAGUGUAUUAAUCCUCUGAGCCAGUAGAGAUAUUCUCUGCCGGCCACAAAACAACUAACUCCAUUACCACAGAUACAGUAGGUAUUGGCAAGUGACUUGGAAAUAACUUUAGUCCUGUUCCUUGAAGCCAGUCUCAUUUAUGUAAUUUGUGUAUAUGAAAUAUCAAACUGUCGCCACGCCAAAACACUGGGUUAGUUCACUUUUUUGGUGACAUAACCCAGGAGGGAUCUUAUAAUGUCCUCUAUUUGAGAGUCAUCAAGUGGCUGCUGGGACCAGACACCCUUUGAUCAGUAUCAGCCAGUAUUAGUUACCAGAACCAUGUAGACUACUGUAUUAUAACACGUUUUUUACGAGUCGAGGCAGCUAUGAACGGUACAGAAGUGUGUGUGUGUGUGUGUAUGUAUGUGUGUGUGUGUGUGUGUGUAUGUGUGUGUGUGUGUGUGUAGCAUGUCAGAAGACUGUGUGUAUGGCAGACAGCAUGAGGUAGUCUUGGGGUGUGUGUUCUCGUGUUCAGCAUUAAGGUUGUGUGGUAAGAUUUAGAUUAGGUCUGUGACAUUACGGUAAUCUCUGAAACUGAUGACAAUCUCUAGAAGUGUUUUUAAAGUCUAGUAUCCAGCAUUGAGUUGUCUCUCUUACGUAACGUGUGUGUGUGUGUGUGUGUGUGUGUGUGUGUGUAGAGGCACCAUGCUGCUGGAGUCAAAUGUCAUGUUAUCGUUAGCUGCAUGAGUGACCACAGCUGGUGAACUCUGACCCCCAGGCCAACCCCCACAGUUGCCCUUUAGAACAGCUGUAGCACUGAUCUAAACUUUCACCAUUAUAAGUGGAGCCCCUAAAGUGGCCCUAGGUCAAUGUCUAGGUAACUUCAUCCUUCUCCAGACCCCUCUGCCUGCAGCUGGAGGCCUGUCUGGGCCCUCCUUUAAAACGGUUCAAAUGCGUCCUCUUGUCUCUGUAGUAAUCACUGAUCUGAUUGGAUAUGUGAAACCUGUUGUUGAACCUUUACUACCACCUACUGUUUUCCAUUGUGUUAGAUCAGGGUGGGGAGGGUUGCCAGAUCAGCAAUUGAUUUGGGUUGCCAGGUGUGUUAGUGUAGAUUGUCUGGGUCGCCAGGUGUAGAUCCCCCUGGCUUUGGUGUGCGGUCCUGAGAGGAUAUGAGACGAGAGCUGAUCUUAUUGACCACCUGGGGAGAGUUUUGGUCAGCUGCACUUCCCUGUGGACUGGACACACACACACACACAAACAGUUUAACCGUCAGAUCCCUUCCCAGGCUCUGUGUAUCCCAGCGAUGUGCCAGUCUAAUAAACAACAGCUUUCUCUGAGCUGAAGUUUUCAUCCUCGUCAACACUCCAACACACUGAGUGAUUUAGCCUGUGUUAGGAGAUGAACUUCCUUAGCUUUAUCACGAGAGAUGAGAUUUGAGUAUUCAUCCACAUCAUGAAUGUGAUCUUCGUCAUUCCUUGUACCAUCAUCCCAUCAUCAUUGUCUUUUCAUCAUUCAGACUUCCUCUAUCACUACUCUUCUUCAUUUUACAUCUCUCUCUUUCCCUGUCCCCUUCCCUCUCUCUAAUCUCUGUCCAGUGGCUACAGACUGCAGUGUGUUUGCGUUGUAAACUUGGUUGAGUUAAUCUAAUUUCUUGUGAUAAAGCUGAGAAGUUAAUCUCCUAAAACAGCCUAAAAGUCACUCCCAGUGUGUGUGGACGUGUGGCUAGAGUUUCCGCAGGCCUUGAGAGGGACCGCAGGCCUUGUGACUGUGUAUUAGAGGCUUCAGAUUGUACACACACACAUUAUUUGAGUCUUUGUCAGAGGACAAUAUUGUCAAUAACAGGGAAGUGAGGCACACAUUUGUCUGUGCUGCAUAUCUCUUACUCAGCAAUAUUGUGAGCGAAGCCAGCUCUCUAAUCCAGUAGAAAAACUCCUCAUUCAUUUCCUCAUAGGCAUCAGUUCAGAUCUUAGACAACAGCUUUAUCUCCCCUAGCCACAUACCUCAGCCCUGUGUCUGCUCUAUAGUAAGGUUAGAGGGCAUUUAUUAAGAUAAUUGCCAAAUUGGGUGUUGGGGGGGUUAGCUGAUGGCUGCAAGUUU
ensembl:lncRNA